CCUGCGGAAGGAAACCGGAAGAGAAGAAAAAAAAAUGAUUUGAUAUUUCUUUCAAUAUAAAAACAGGAAAAUUGGAUGGAAAGAAGCUCUUCCCCCCCUCUGCUUCCUUCCCGUCUACAACAUUUAUCGAUCCAUCUUGAUCGAUCGACGACGAUCGGAAAAAAAAACCUGCCGACAGUUUUGAGUGACGUGCUGCUCGUCUCGGUCCCUCCUUGUCUAAUAAUCGGAUCUGGCGGCUCCUUUUUGACUUGGCUCACGCUUCAUUUCACAACUGGAAGGUGCGGAUUAUAGAACAACGUACACACAGCAGCAGCCAGCCAGCCAGCAGGAGUGUGUUGGAAAGGCCCCGUUAUUGUUUCCACCGUCAGUGCGUUAAUCAGGUUCUCUCUUUUGUAGAGCGUUGAAAAAUGCUAAUUUAGUUAUAUCUUAGAGAGUUCUAGAUAUAUAUAUUUCUUUAUUGCGGGUUUUUGGGUUGUUGUGAGCAUUGCUCUGAAUUCAAUGGCCGGCUGCUGCGGUUUGUGUAAUAACCUCCGUAACUUUUGUUUCCAGCGUUCGUGCUCGGACUAUUUAUUCGAUGCUAUACAAAGUUGGAAGAAGAAGAAAAAAAGGGGCCGGACAUUUUCGGUCGUCUUAUGCAAAUACUACUACGCCGCACAGUCGAGAAGAAGAAGAAAAGACAAAGAAUAUCAUUUGUCUGUUCUUCUUCUUUUUAUUCAAAUGCUGCAAACGUAAAAGGGAAAGAAAAAUGCUGGAUGGGCCGUUUUGAUAUUUCCUUGUGAGCGUCUUUUUUUUGGCAUCGUGACCCAUCGCCACCAGAUGCCAAACUGCCGUCCGCUUUUUUCUUUCUCUUUUGCGCUGACUUAUCGAUCGAUAUUUAUAUAGUGAGCGGAGAGGGGGGUGAGUCAGAGCUUUUUAGAUGUCGAUCGAUCCAUCAGUCGUGUAGUGACGGGCCCAGGUGAAUUGCAUUUGCAACCGAGAGAAAGAGGAGCCGGGCAUCAGGAGCAGAAAUGAAGCUCACAAUUCGAUUUUCGUUUUGCUCGCUAGCCAUUCGAGUUCCGUUCCUUUGAGUGCCAACGAUCAAAGAAGCUCCGGUGAUUGCCAAUCGUUUUUCUCCAGUCUGUGACGUAGUAGUCGACGAUCGAUCGGCCAAACAUAUAAUCUCUCUCGCACAAGAAUAGGAGGGAUAGGAAACUGGAUCGACUUGACAUCUGCCAGUGUCAAUUAUAAUCCUCUACAACUUUCCCUCUUUUUAUAUUUUUUAAAAGUUUCUUGGCGUCGGGACGACGGGACGCCAGUCAAGGAUAUCAUUUAACAAACAUACAGGGACCUUCUCUCUUAUAUAUUUUUCUGCGUGUAUCGAAUGUGCUGGAGCGUGAAAAAUCGUGUCGGUUAUAUCACGCCGAGUCGUCAGUAAAUCAAUCGCCGAUCCAUGAAAUGUGAAAUGGACAACAACAACAACAACUUGAAAAAAAGAAAAAAACUGGAACACUGGGAAAUUUAAAUUUUUUUGUUUUUUAAAUUUGUUAUGUAAUCCGGUCCUCGCUGACAGCUGAUGUGCCCAGCCAAAAAAAACGAGAACAACAGCAGCAGAACACACACCUGAGACGUCAUUUAUUAUCCUUACAAGAGAGAAAGGUAACUUAAUCCGCCAGUGUCAAAUGUACACACAUAGAAACUAAACAAAAAAUUGUUUUAAUAUUAAAAUCUGCAUUUUCAUUUUUUGAAACGUCUAGUUGUGAUGGCCGCCUCUCUCUCGACCAAUAUGGCCAGGCAGCAAGGAUCGGCUGCUAGCUGCCUACUCCGUGCAUAUGAUGGAUGCGCUGCGGAGGCGAAUGAUCGACACACACACUGGGGCAUUAUUAUUUCACGAGGUGAGUCAUCAUCUUGUACAUCAAAAACAUCUUUUCUCUAUUCCAGCUACUAGCUAGCUAGCCAGAGAAAAGGUGUCACUUUCUUUUAAUCUUUUCUGUCCACACACACAAACUGUGACACGUUCUGAUGUUUAUUCAAUUUUUAUCUUUGCGGUUUUUUUUUGUAUUAAAACGGUGAGACUGGCCUUGUGAAUAUUUUUCGUGUCCUUGCAAUCGGGUCAAGGCGCCAGGCAGUUGUUUUCUUUUUUUUUUCUUUAGACUGAAGACUGACCAUAUUAGCGUUUAUGCCUUUAACAUGUUUCGCUAUCUUGUAUUUAUGUUUCCAAACGAGCUGCUGGUUUGGUUGGCUUGCACGCGACUUUCUACAGCGUGGAGAUUCUUCUGCUUUUAUUCG